AUCGGAUUUGAUUACUUUAUUAGUAAAUUUACUAAAACGGCCCCUAAAGUUAUAACUAUUUUCAGGCGGGUCCCUGUUCUUCUCCUUGAAUCUGCUUUAAGGUUUUUUUUUUGUGUAGAAUCAAUCAAUGGACUUGUUGUUUGCGGGAAUCGUAGCAAUGGAGGAGGAUUGGGGAGAGAGGGUAUCAGAGAAGGUUGUUUCGGCUUACAUGUCUCUCCCGAAAAAGGGAAAACCUCAGGGACGUGAAGUCACCGUCCUCUCCGCUUUCCUUGUCUCUUCUCCUUCCCAAGACUUGAAAGUGAUAGCGUUAGGGACGGGGACCAAGUGCGUUAGUCGGUCGCUGCUGAGUCCCCGCGGGGACAUUGUUAACGAUUCUCAUGCCGAAGUUGUCGCCAGAAGAGCUCUCAUCAGGUUCUUCUAUUCCGAGAUUCAGGGGAUGCAAUUGACUUCAGAUAAGAGUAGUGAAGCCAAGCGUCAGAGACUUGAUUGCGAAACAAGCUCAGUACUAGAGUCAGCAGAUUCAAGCUGUCCUGGAGAAGUGAAAUAUAAGCUCAAAUCUGGCUGCCACUUGCAUAUGUACAUUUCUCAAUUGCCAUGUGGUUAUGCUUCUACUAGUUCACCCUUCUAUGCCCUGAAAAAGAUUCCAUCAACACAAGUAGACGACUCAUUUUUAGUUCAAGCUUCUGACAUUGGCUCGUCUCGGCAUUCUGAUGUUCCACAGAUAGGUAGUAAUAGCCACACAGGUAAUGGCUCACAAGUAGCAGAUAUGGUGCAAAGAAAGCCUGGUCGUGGUGAAACGACACUCUCUGUUAGCUGUUCAGAUAAGAUAGCUCGAUGGAAUGUUCUUGGAGUUCAAGGGGCAUUGCUUUGCCAAGUCCUCCAGCCUGUUUAUAUCUCUACCAUCACCGUUGGACAAUCUCUGCACAUUCCUGGCAAUUUUUCUUUAGCUGAUCACUUGCGAAGAUCUUUGUAUGAGAGGAUCCUCCCACUAUCGGAUGACCUUCUGACUUCCUUCCGGUUGAACAAGCCACUGUUUUUUGUAGCUCCAGUAAUACCAUCAGAAUUUCAGCAUUCAGAAACUGCUCAAGCUACCUUAACAUGCGGGUAUUCCUUGUGUUGGAACUAUUCUGGCUUACACGAAGUUAUUCUUGGAACAACAGGUAGAAAGCAAGGCACAUCAGCUAAAGGAGCUCUGUAUCCGUCUACUCAAUCAUCUAUAUGCAAACAGCGGUUACUGGAGCUAUUCUUGAAAGAAACUCAUGGACACGAAAGGGAAUCUUCCAAGUCAAAAAAAUCGUACCGAGAACUGAAGAACAAAGCUACGGAAUAUUCUUUGAUGUCAAGGAUUUUUAAAGGAAAGUAUCCAUUCAACAAUUGGCUAAGAAAACCCUUGAAUUACGAGGAUUUUCUGAUAAAUUAGACGUGGGAAAAUACAAAUAGCAAAGAAGUGAAACGAAAAAUACCCAAGAAAACGAAAGCAGAAAAUAUGAAUUUUGACUGAAACGAAUUAAGAUGCGGUGACCUGAAGCAAGUCGAUGUCUCAAUUAUAACAUCUACUUUUUCAAAUCAUUAAAAAUACAAGGGAAAGGAGUUGUACCAUGCGAUGAAAAAGAUUUUGCUCUUCUGGCAGUUCUCAGGAGUGGUGAAAUCAAAGUCAUAGACAGCAUAUCGGCACUCAUCCUCGGGAAUAGAUCUGGUGAAAUCGUCGUAAGUUUCUUCUGGAUUCCCAAGCUUGUCAAUCAUAACUUGCUGAGCCUUCUCAUCAAUUUUGAACACAAUGAACCUAUAGUUCCUCUUUGCUUUCAACUCCAAGAACUUGAGCUUGCAGUCAUCGCUAACGUGCAUCCCAGACGCUGAAUUAGCCUGCACAAUCAAACACAUGCAUAGUCAGUUUGAUUAUAUGAUCACAAUACAUUAUAUGAAUUGCAAUACCAGAUUGAUAAAAUGAAAGGUAGGAACAUACCAUUGUUCUCUGCUUGAAAUUGGGGCUUGAUGAUCUGGAAGUAGAGAAGGUAGGGGGUUUUAGAGGGUGGGAAGAAGAAUAGACAAGUAGGUUUGGUUGGAUCGUUAGGCUGGUCACGUCUUAAAACCAAGAAGACUUUGAUGCUGUCACGUUGUUGCCAUAUUUACUUCAUUAGAUAUAUUAGAGGGAGUCUAUAUAAUAUUCACGCAUUCGCAUAAUACACAUGUAUCUAUGUGUGUAUGCAAGCACAUGUGGUGAAGUUUGUUCCGGACAUCAUUGGGGAGUUGAGGUUUCAUGAUGUGCAUGUUUUCUUUCUUUUUAUUAUUAUUUUUGACUUUUUCUUUC